rnacentral:rRNA from 1 species
GACGAACGCUGGCGGCGUGCUUAACACAUGCAAGUCGAACGGAAAGGCCCUGCUUUUGUGGGGUGCUCGAGUGGCGAACGGGUGAGUAACACGUGAGUAACCUGCCCUUGACUUUGGGAUAACUUCAGGAAACUGGGGCUAAUACCGGAUAGGAGCUCCUGCUGCAUGGUGGGGGUUGGAAAGUUUCGGCGGGUGGGGAUGGACUCGCGGCUUAUCAGCUUGUUGGUGGGGGAGUGGCUUACCCAGGCUUUGACGGGUAGCCGGCCUGAGAGGGUGACCGGCCACAUUGGGACUGAGAGACGGCCCAGACUCCUACGGGAGGCAGCAGUGGGGAAUAUUGCACAAUGGGCGGAAGCCUGAUGCAGCAACGCCGCGUGCGGGAUGACGGCCUUCGGGUUGUAAACCGCUUUCGCCUGUGACGAAGCGUGAGUGACGGUAAUGGGUAAAGAAGCACCGGCUAACUACGUG